rnacentral:rRNA from 1 species
CCUACGGGAGGUAGCAGUAGGGAAUAUUGCUCAAUGGGGGAAACCCUGAAGCAGCAACGCCGCGUGGAGGAUGAAGGUUUUAGGAUUGUAAACUUCUUUUGUUAGAGGAGUUUAUGAUGGUAUCUAACGGAUAAGGACCGGCUAAUUCCGUGCAAGCAGCGCCGGUAAUACGGAGGGUGCAAGGGUUACUCGGAAUCACUGGGCGUAAAGAGUGCGUAGGCGGGUUAAUAAGUCAGAUGUGAAAUCCUGCAGCUUAACUGCAAAACUGCAUUUGAAACUGUUACUCUGGAGUAUGGGAGAGGUAGGUGGAAUUCGUGGUGUAGGGGUGAAAUGCGUAGAGAUCAAGAAGAAUACUGAUUGCGAAGGCGACCUACUGGAACGUUACUGACGCUGAUGCACGAAAGCGUGGGGAGCAAACAGGAUUAGAUACCCUAGUAGUC